AAUGGGUCAGCGACUUAUAUUCUGUAGCAAGGUUAACCGAAUAGGGGAGCCGAAGGGAAACCGAGUCUUAACUGGGCGUUAAGUUGCAGGGUAUAGACCCGAAACCCGGUGAUCUAGCCAUGGGCAGGUUGAAGGUUGGGUAACACUAACUGGAGGACCGAACCGACUAAUGUUGAAAAAUUAGCGGAUGACUUGUGGCUGGGGGUGAAAGGCCAAUCAAACCGGGAGAUAGCUGGUUCUCCCCGAAAGCUAUUUAGGUAGCGCCUCGUGAAUUCAUCUCCGGGGGUAGAGCACUGUUUCGGCAAGGGGGUCAUCCCGACUUACCAACCCGAUGCAAACUGCGAAUACCGGAGAAUGUUAUCACGGGAGACACACGGCGGGUGCUAACGUCCGUCGUGAAGAGGGAAACAACCCAGACCGCCAGCUAAGGUCCCAAAGUCAUGGUUAAGUGGGAAACGAUGUGGGAAGGCCCAGACAGCCAGGAUGUUGGCUUAGAAGCAGCCAUCAUUUAAAGAAAGCGUAAUAGCUCACUGGUCGAGUCGGCCUGCGCGGAAGAUGUAACGGGGCUAAACCAUGCACCGAAGCUGCGGCAGCGACACUAUGUGUUGUUGGGUAGGGGAGCGUUCUGUAAGCCUGUGAAGGUGUGCUGUGAGGCAUGCUGGAGGUAUCAGAAGUGCGAAUGCUGACAUAAGUAACGAUAAAGCGGGUGAAAAGCCCGCUCGCCGGAAGACCAAGGGUUCCUGUCCAACGUUAAUCGGGGCAGGGUGAGUCGACCCCUAAGGCGAGGCCGAAAGGCGUAGUCGAUGGGAAACAGGUUAAUAUUCCUGUACUUGGUGUUACUGCGAAGGGGGGACGGAGAAGGCUAUGUUGGCCGGGCGACGGUUGUCCCGGUUUAAGCGUGUAGGCUGGUUUUCCAGGCAAAUCCGGAAAACUAAGGCUGAGGCGUGAUGACGAGGCACUACGGUGCUGAAGCAACAAAUGCCCUGCUUCCAGGAAAAGCCUCUAA
rnacentral:rRNA from 1 species